AAAUAAUUAUUUUAUCCAUCGCCAAGGCAAUCCAAAUUUAUAAUUUCAAAAUUCUAAUUCCAAAAUAAUUUAAUCUGCUCACGAAUAACAAGAAUAAAAUUUGGUGCAACAGUAAUGGGAUUAGAGUUUAGAGAUUGUAACAUAUUUUCAUUACCGGAAAAUGGUGAUCGGUGGGUAACCAGAAACUCCAUGAAAUUGGAACUGAAACAGAGUAUAGUUUACUUCAAGUCAAUUACUUCUCCGUCGAUUUAUAUAGCAUGCUUAUAAGUACUAUUAUUGGUGUUAAUUGAAGCGAGGAAAGCUCUGAAGAAUGGGAGAAUCCCUAUUCGGAAAAUAGGUUUCCACUGAAAGAUUCCGGUGAGUUUUGGUCUAAUUCCGGCAGUGAACAGUCGGGAGAUCGAAAAUUUGGGGAAUUUGAGUGAAAACGGGAAGUGGGUAUUGUUGAAAACUCAAAACUACAAGUGGGGUUUGAAGGAAUUGAAGAAAGACAAAUUAGAAAGCGGAAUACCGAGAGUGAACGAUCAGAAGAUCGAAAAUUUAGGGAAUUUAAGGGUAAAAGUGAAGUGGGUAUUGUGCAAUACUCGAAAUUAGAAGUGGGUUCUGAAGGAAUUGAAGAAAUAGGAAGUGUAAAGGGGGAAUUGUUGGAAGAGUGUUGGUCUGAUUUUGUAGAAGGAAAAAUAGGAAAAUGAUACUGUUGAAGGUGAGAAAAUAAAUGAAAUUAUUGAAGUAGUAGAAGUUAAGAAAGUAAGAGAGCAGAAAAGGGGUAGGUAUUUUUUUUUGCGCGGCGAGGGGAUUUCGAGGUGGGGAAACGAGCCCUCGUCAACAAAAUGAAAGUCCUGCUAGUUAACUAAACGAGCUUCUAAAAUUGCGAGCUUCUAAAAUUGAAGGUCCCUUUAGAGGUUUUGAAGUUUUAUGUUUCAGGGGUUAGUCUUGUAUGGAACUUUCUGUAGGUGCUGCUAUGAUGGGGUUUGUUAGUUUGGUUCAUAGAUUGCAAUGCUUGAAGAAAAAGACAGCGUUUGGAACUGGAAGUUACUAUGGAUGACAAGAAAAGUAUCUCAGUUCAUGAGCCGUGCUACACGCUUUAUUGAAGCAUGUUCCUGUAAUUGGCCACAACUACCAAUAGCUGAAGUUGCGUCAUAGCUUGUAAUGAGUUUGAGAUAUAGAACCUAUUAUAUGUUUUUUUUUUUGGGGAGUGGGGGUGGGGGAUUGAAAAGGUACAUACAUUGGAGUGGAAGAAGCUGGUGAUGUUACUUUUUCUUUCUUCUUUGCUUGUAUAAUCUGUGUUUAGGUUACUAUGUUGAUUGAAUUCCCUGUACAUUUCUAAAAGACUGAUAUACUAUUUAAAAACUAUGUAUAAUCUCGUACUUUAGCCAUUUCCGUUGUAAUUAUUCUAUUAUCUA